AUCUCACGCAAGAGAAGACGGGUGCACGAAGUAGAACUGCUGAUGGGGACCACCACCACACCCCUACACGUGCCAGAGGACUCCCCAUUGAAGGCCAGAAGUGGCUUGUGGGCCGCCUGUUGAUAACCAUUACUCAACAGUAUUUUUCCAAAAUCCAAGAUUUCUACACUCAAGUAUUUUAGGUUUGCGGUCAUGAAAAGUCUGGCUGGACUACGUUUGAAUGAACGGAGAGGUGACAUUAUGCUGUCAGUAACAAGGAUUCAUCCUGUUGUGAUGCUGACAGGAAAUCAUUGUUACUGGGAGUGUAUGUCACACGCACAAACACAAAGAUCUACUGUAGGAAGUAGUAACUGUUUUAGUUGUUUGUUUGACUUUAGACACUUUUUGUUCUUCUGAGUUAAAGGUCCCAUGUGCUACAGAAUGUUUCAAUGUAUGUAACAAAACUGACUACUAAGGUAAUAAUAAAAUGAUACAUAAAG